rnacentral:rRNA from 1 species
GACGAACGCUGGCGGCGUGCUUAACACAUGCAAGUCGAACGGAAAGGCCCUGCUUUUGUGGGGUGCUCGAGUGGCGAACGGGUGAGUAACACGUGAGUAACCUGCCCUUGACUUUGGGAUAACUUCAGGAAACUGGGGCUAAUACCGUAUAGGAUCUCCUGCUGCAUGGUGGGGGUUGGAAAGUUUCGGCGGUUGGGGAUGGACUCGCGGCUUAUCAGCUUGUUGGUGGGGUAGUGGCUUACCAAGGCUUUGACGGGUAGCCGGCCUGAGAGGGGGACCGGCCACAUGGGGACUGAGAUACGGCCCAGACUCCUACGGGAGGCAGCAGGGGGGAAUAUUGCCCAAUGGGCGGAAGCCUGAUGCAGAAACGCCGCGUGCGGGAUGACGGCCUUCGGGGUGUAAACCGCUUUCGCCUGUGACGAAGCGUGAGUGACGGUAAUGGGUAAAGAAGCACCGGCUAACUACGUG